CACGUAGGGUGCGAGCGUUGUCCGGAAUUAUUGGGCGUAAAGAGCUCGUAGGCGGUGUGUCGCGUCGGCCGUGAAAACCUGGGGCUUAACUCUGGGCGUGCGGUCGAUACGGGCAUCACUGGAGUUCGGCAGGGGAGACUGGAAUUCCUGGUGUAGCGGUGAAAUGCGCAGAUAUCAGGAGGAACACCGGUGGCGAAGGCGGGUCUCUGGGCCGAUACUGACGC
rnacentral:rRNA from 1 species